UCCAAUAGGAUUCAACCUUUGGCUUGCUGAAAUGCAUUUGGAAACAUUGUUGCGCUUGUACAGAACUUUUAGGAAAAGAAAAUACGUUAAAUUACAUAUAUGUCGACGGUUAAACUACCAGACCACGUAUUUCGUUUGCGGUGUUUAGAAAUCUCUGCUUCCAUUUUAUUUUUUUGAAGGAGAACGAAUGAAUAUCACGCCUCACAGUUUUCACAGGAUUUGCUUCACACAGAGAAGAAAGAUCUCGUAAGUUUUCAAAAAUUGACGUUGAUUCGUUUUCCCUUUAAAAAAUAAAGUCGGACAGGAAGUUUGCAACGUCGCAAACCGAGAUACGUGGUCUGCUAGUUUCAUCGGCGAUAUGUACUUAGCACAUAGAGGGUUAAGAAUCUAACAUGCAUUUUAUCCUUUCAACAGUGGGGCCUCCCAAAAGGCACGUCAGAAUCCGUUUUCGAUAUGGUUGCACCUGUCACGACGCCGGCACCUGUAGCAGAAGAGUUGGAUAGGAUGAGCGAGUUCCUCAUUCUGAUGGAAGAGCACCCGGAGCGCUAUGUCGACAAGACUCUCUUCCUGAGGCGAGCGAUGGAGCCGAGGGUAACAGUAGUCACUCGCCCGCGCGGUUUCGGCAAGACACUCAUGCUUUCCAUGCUCGAAUACUUCCUCGAUGCUCAACAACCCAACUCAUCGACCGACCUCUUCAAGAACCUUAGCAUCAUGAGGGAUACCGAGUUCGUGCGGAGGCACAAGCAUAAGUAUCCAAUCAUCAGGCUCGACUUCGGAGGCGUCAAGAACGCCACCUUUGCGGAGAACUUCCGGGUCUUGAAGUCUGUUGUUGCCGCAGCGUACCUUUGUCAUAGCGCACGACUCCUGCACCAAGAUGAAGCGGUGAUAGACAGCGCAGCAAAGGAAGUAUACAGGAGUAUAAUGGAGAAACACGGCGAUGAGAAUUUGUACUUGGGAGCAAUCCAGCGGUUGUGCAAAUUCAUUUACAACUCCGAGGGUGUUCGCCCAAUCAUCUGAUCGAUGAGUAUGACACGCCUCUCCUAACGGCGCUCGAUACCGGGCACUUUCAUGCUAUGAUCAAGUUCAUGCGCGGUUUUUACCGUCAAACUCUCGACCCGAGAGAAAAUGAUUCUUUCGAGAAAAGUGUUCUCACCGGCGUUACGAAUGUCCAUACUAUCAUCCUGGAGCACUUCCGAGAUGAAGUGAAAGUAUAUUCGAUCUUCGAUGAUGAGUGCUCGAACUUUUUUGGCUUCACACAGGCAGAGGGUGAGACAGCAACAACAAUUAUAUUCCUAGGAAUCUUUAGAGAUUAUAUCAGAAUAGACCGCUAGACAAGGUACGAAGUUAAGCAUUCUGAUGUACCUAUGUUUCCUAACCAAAAUAUCACGUAGAGCAGGAUUUGCGCAACGAAAAUUAUUGAAUUUGACUCCCAACUAUAUGAUAUUCAAUGUUUCUUGGCGCGUACUCAAACCUCCCACUCAUGAAAACACAAUAGUCUACGUGAGUCAAAUCGCACACUAAACUUAGCCAUGACAAUCUCUGCUAUAUGAAAAUCUGGCAACCUCAAUCUUGACGCUUUGGCUCAGCUAUGGCAAAUUGUUUACACUUUGAACGGUAAAGAGUGGGAAAAGAACUAUGCUGGAUUGAAAAGCCUGUGCCAUAACUGUUGUGAGGCGAGAUUCCCUCCCGUAAAAAUUGAUAUUGAAGUUUCCAGCCUAGAGGUAAAAAGUGCGAAGAAAAAAAGGAUCAAUUGGGAACGCUUCUUCGAAUAACAAGUAUGUGUAUAGAACAUAAUUAAGAUAAAAGUAACUCAUUAUUCAUGUAUUUUUCUGGGAUUUGGAGAAAAUUAAAUUGAAACUGGGAACAAAAAUCUUGACGCUUUACUUCUCUGAAGGUUUCAACGUAAAUCGUAAUCUUCAACCUCUAUUUUCACAAACGAUAUUCCGUCGUGCUAAAAAAGAAAGCCGUAUGUACAUUCGGGAGUUGCCAAAUAAUAACGGGUAAAAAGUAUAUUUUUGAGGGAAUUUAUGUAUAUAGUUUUCCUUAAAAUUUGUCGAAUAAUUUAGGUUAACUUGCGGACAUAAUGUAUUGAAAAUUUUAAAGAAAAAUAUUCACAAUUUUCCCAGUAAAUUCGUUUUUAUUGAAGGGAAUGAGGCAACGUCUAAAGGCUCAUGCGGCGUUUAUCCUUAGCAGGGCAGUAUUAUACUCUUAAUUCUGAAUUUUGGAGAAGAAAUCUAUGCAAGAAUUUGAGCUUAAAAUGCACCUAACUCAAUUGAUCCUAUUUGGACUGCAUUUUGCAAUUGGGACCUAUAAAUUCUGGUUCAUCUGAAAAAAACACUUAUGUGCAUAGGGAAACUAAUGGCACAUACGUUGUUUUUAAACCAGGCCGGAAUUUAUAGGUCCAAAUUGCAAAAUGCAGUCUAUUUGAUCGGCUCCUCUCAGAUAAACUCGGUAUAGUGCUCCCAUUCCCCGGAGUUAGUUCCGAACUUUUGAGAUUUUCCUAAAUUUUUCCCGGAACUAUUGAAGAUCCCAAAGGGAUCUUUUGCAUUUUCCGGAACUUUCUCGGAAAUUUUCAAAAAAUUUAAAAAGAAUCCCGGAAAUUUAGACGGUCAUGAAAUGGGAGGAAUUGAGACAAAAAACUUCCGAAUUCCGAAACUUUUGACGGUCAUGGAAUUGGAGCAUUGAGACUUGGUCAUUGUACAGGUCAAUGAGCUGGUUUCACGUGGUAAACAUGGACCAGAUG
rnacentral:lncRNA from 1 species